UGCUGGGUCGUGGCUCUGCUGGGGCUGGAAUACGCCCCGAGGGGCUCCUUUUGAAACGAAGCCUCGGGUUUCUGCUUCACGUUUUCUGUUUGUUGUGUCGUUUCAGGCUGCGGUGAGACCCUUGGCGGUCAGGAUCGGCCCCACCCGGUGAGCAGCUGAGGCGGUAAAGGCACCGUGGAGGCGGUGAGCGCUCGGGAGUCGUUCGAGGAAAGGCAGCGUGGCAAGGCGGUGGAGUUUCUCUUCCAGUGAGAGAACUGGAAGGCAUUGAGCUGUGCCUAGGGACGGAUGAAGACCUAGCAGAGCGCUUGCACGCUUUGUUCUUUCCAGUGCCCCGAGGAGCGGCGCAUCCCUCAGAGUUAGAAAUGGAAGGUGGCCAUGGAGCGGAGGAUAGCCCGUGCGCUGCGGCGGCCUUGAAGAAGGGCGAGAAGCGUGGCCUGCAUGACUAG
rnacentral:lncRNA from 1 species